UCUAAUAAUCAUAGAAUCACAAGGUUGGAAAAGACCUACAAGAUCAUCUAGUCCAAUAGUUUUGCUUUCUGCAAAAUCUCUUAAGAAUCUGUUACCCAGAAGAAAUCUGUAUCUGCAUACAAUUAUGUUGACUUGCCACGUGUCACUGAAGGAACUGUGCAAGCCAGGUUGUGCUAGACAAAUGUCCCUGAGUGAUAAAAAAGAAUUGUAUGGAAGUGCCUUCCUUUUUUUGCCGGUAUAUGUGUUCAAGAUGACAAGACCCUAACUCACAGCGUAGAAGGAAGUAAUUAAGAAAAAUCUCCUAAAUGCCAGGAACAACACACUGUGAUUCAGGAUUUGAUUCAGAUUUGAAUGAAGUCAAAAGAGAUUCCUGCUAUUUCACUAGCUCUUAAUAUCCACAGUUCACAGAAAUAGGCAUUGAAUCAAUAGCUUUGAUGAAGGUAGCUUCACAGAGCCUGACAUAGCUCUAUGAGGGAAGUCUCACUGCAUAAGUCCUGGGUUGGACACUCGACCUGGAAGUGAAUCCAGAGUUUUUCAGGGUUCCACUGGUACUGUAAACUGCAAUGUCAUUAUAUAAUUUAUUAAAUUAAGCAAUUUGGAAAUACAUUUCCAUCUUUUGUUUUUAGACUUCGUUUCAUUUUGCUUUCUUCCUCCACAAAAGUAUGUCCAAUAAAACACGAGGAUAAAAUUGACUUCUUACCCGAUUACUGCUACAUUACACUUGUGUGAACAGUGCAGAUACUGGGUAUUAGACACAUUACUAAUACAAGCAGUAGUUCUUCCUGUGGCAUAGAUUUCUCUGGGAAUGUUAUUUUAUUGUAUUGCAUUUAGUGGUUGUUUGUUUAAGAGGGAAUAACAGACAUUGCUGGAUUUCACUGAUUCAGUAAGCAUUCUGGCUUCAGUCCAGCAAAUCAUUUAAGCAUGUGUUUAACUGUAAUGAAAUAAAAUUCUAUUCUAUUCUCGUAGUACUGCUUAUGUAUUGAACAUGUAGAAUGGGCUGAAACAGGACCAAAAUGACGAAGAAAAUAAAAAUAAAAAUAAAAAUAAAAAGCAUUUUUAUACACACAUUUUUUAUAAACUUGAUAUUGCUAAAAGGGGCAUUUUGUACCAUCUAUGCUAUACAGUUCCCUUGUACCCC